ACUAUAGUAUGUUAGGACACUGGUUAAGCAAAGCUUCAAAGAUGCUUUGGAAAGAUACGACAUUCUAAUCUCACCAGCUGCGCCGUCAGCAGCCUACAAGAUAGGUGAAAAGAUAAAUGACCCGUUAGCCAUGUAUUCAGGAGAUAUCAUGACGGUGAAUGUUAAUUUGGCCGGGCUUCUUGCAUCAGUUGUGCCUUG